rnacentral:lncRNA from 1 species
CUGGGGUGCGGGAGGAGGUGGGAGGGUGAGGCUGUGGCCAGCAGGAGCCAGGCCUCAGGGUGCCAGCCUGGACCAGGAGCAUGUGCUGGGGGCUUGCUUUCCGCAAUCAGGCACUUUUUCAAGUUGGUCCUGAACGGUUCUGGACUGGAUGGCAGGCUGCUGUGUGUGAUUGAGAAUGUUGCCUGUCUGAGCCCUGAGAUGAGCUGAGGGUUCCUCCUCCCCAGCCAGCACCAGCCUCACACAGCCCUUGUAAAUCUGAAAGUGCUGUUGGUAGCAACCAGGGAUGGGCAGAGGCAGCCCUGUCCUGAGGGUGACAUGAAAGUGAGAGCAAGCUGAAGCUCCAGUUGGCUUAGUCUUCAAAAGUGUCACUUUCAGAUUAUAUCCCUCAGCUUUAAAAUAUCCUUCUUUGAAGUCCAUCCUGCUCUGCCCACUAUUUGUCCCCGGUGGUCACUUCCUCCUCUGUGCUCCCGUGGCCUGGGAUUCACACCAGGAAAGAACGCCACGAAGAAGGAAUGACAAGAAAAUGGAGGCAAAGAACAUUGGAGUCACUCCCUGGCUACACACACUGAGGUGCUCAAAAAGGGCCGGUGUGCCGCAGUGAGUGCCAGUUUGAAUGAAGGAAGCAUGCGUGGCCUGAAGCCUCACCGUGUUCCAGGCGUCCAGUUAAGUGCUCUGCACAUAAUAUCACACAUUGCGCUCCACGAUAAGAACAAAUUCUCACAUGGGAACCGAGCAAAGUGUAAUGGAUGUUCCCAGGAGCUGCCUAUGGGAUUCAAGAAAACUGUAUGAGAGGAGUAACAUUUGGGCUGGAAGCGAAAAUACAAGUAAACAUAUGUCAAAUGGGGUCUGGAAAGCAAUCCUCCACAGAAAGAAAGCAGAAUCUUCUGGGCAUUUCUGAGCAAGUGGACUUCCUUCAGCUGAGCACAGUCCUCAGGAGAAGCGGACAGGUGCAAAGUGUUGGAAGCCAACACUCACAGCAGUUGGGGGUUGGAGUGCUCUGGCUUCCAACAGCAUUGAAACCAACAGCAUUGACUACAGCGAGUUUCUCAAUCUUCAGAACACAUCCCAGCCUCCCUGGGGGCUGCUAAUGCACAGAUUGCCGUUUCCCACUCCAAGAGUUUCUGAUUCCAGAGGUCUGGGGUAGGGCUCGAUAAUUUGUUCUUCUAACCACCUAAUGCUGUUGGUCCAGUGACCACACUUUGAGAAAUGCUGUACUAUGUUUUCUCAUAUAUUUAAAAAUUCUCACCUCAUUUAUGGUUUAAAACUUCUAGAACAAUUCUGAAUAGUUUUUGUAAUAGUGAGCCUCACUUUCCUGUCUCUGCCCUUAAUGGGAAUGUCUCUAAUGAUUCACCUUUCAUACGGGGACUUGUUGUGGUUUACUGGGCAAUUCCUUUUGGCAGGUUAAAAAAAUUCCCUCUGUUUCAAGCUAAAGCCAUUUACCAGGAAGAGACGCUAAGUUUUAUCAGAGGGUUUUUCCAGUAACUAUUGUGAUAAUCAUGGUUUUUUUUCCUAUUUAUUACGAUAUCAAACAUGAAACUUAUUUGAAGUCCUGGAUUAAACGGUGCUUGUUUUCUAUAAUGUUUUGUUCCUUAAAUGUACUGACAAAUUUAAUUUAUUAUUUUUUUAGGAUUUGAGGUACAAGUUCAUACGUGAUAAUGACUUACUGUUUUGUUUUCAUUAUUUCCUCCUUCCAUCCUUUCUUGAUAUCCUUUUUAUCUCUUGGUUUCAAAAUUACACUAGCGUCAUAGAAUGAGUUGGAAAUUAGCCCAUUAUUCUCCAUGCCAUGGAGUGUUUUGCAAAACAUAAGAAUGAUCAGUUCCUUACAUAUUUGGUAGAAUUUACCUUAUAAAACACAGUAGGUUUUGUGUCUCUUCUGGAGUCCAGAUACUGCUAUGGACUGAAUGUUUGUACCCUCUAAGAUUCAUUAGGUUGAAAUCCUAGCCUCAAAGUGGUGGUAUUAGGAGGUGGGACUUUUGGGAGGUGAUCAGGCCAAGAGGGUGGAGCCCUCAUGAAUGGGAUUAGUGCCCUUAUCAAAUAAGGCAAAAGGAGCUCUUUAACCUCUCCCACCAUGUGAGGACAAAGUGAAAAGACACCAUCUAUGAACCAGGAAGCAGGGCCUCACCGGAUGCCAAACCUGCCAGCACCUGGCCCUUGGACUUCCAGCCACCAGAACUGUGAAGAAGAAAUUUCUAUUGCUUAUAAAUACCCAGUUUACGGCAUUCUGUUAUAGAAGUGCCUAAUAGGCUAAGGCAAAUACUAUAUGGUAUUUAGGAUUGCUUCUGUAUAUUUUUAAGACUUUUUUAUUUUGGAAUAAUAAUAAUUCACAGAAAAUUUACAGAGAAAGUCUCCACAUGCCCCUCACCCCACUUCCCCUAAUGUUAACAUAACCGUGGUCCAUUUGUCAAAACUAAGAAAUGAGGAUUGGUACCAUACUAUUGACUGAAUUACAGACAUUACUUGGAUUUUGUCAAUUGUUUUACUAAUAUUCUAUUAUUUCUGUGUCAGAUUCCAAUCUGGAUAACAUGUUGCAUUUGUUCAUCACGUCUCCUUUGUUUUUCCUGGGCUGUGACAGUUUCUUAUUCUUUUCUUGUAUUGCCUGGCUUUGAAUUUUGAGGAAUUCUGGUUAAGUAUUUUGUAAACUGUCACUAAAUUUUGCUUGUCAGAUGUUUUCUCCUGGGUUAGACUGGGCUUACAGGUUUUGGGGAAGAACUCUACAAAAGGGAAAUGUCUUUCUCAUCUCAUCUAAUAAAUGGAUAUAGGAUAUCAACUUAACUUAUUCCUGGCAAUGGUAAUCUUGACAUCAUGGUUAAGGGAGUACCUGCCAAGUUACCACAAGGAAAGUUUCUAUUUUUUCAUUCUUAUACUCAAUUCUUUGGAAGCAAGUCACGAAGUCCAGCUCACACUCAAAAAUAGGGAAAUUAAACCUUACCUUUUUGCAUAGGGGAUACGAACUUUAAAAAAAACAAUCUUCUGAAAGGAGUCUUGUCUCUUGUAGUUCCAUGUUUAAUGCUAUCAUGUAUUUGUUUUUAUUAAUAUGAACUCAUAAAUACUCAUUUUAUUGGAAUAAUCCAUUAUCAUAUAUUUUGUUGCUCAGAGUAUUCCAGCUUUGACCACUGGGCUUUUUCAGGUUGACUUCUGUGUCCUUUUGACUUGCCCCCAUCUAUUAUUAUGUAUUUUUUUUUAGCAGUUUCUUACUUUUGUCACUUCAAGAUGUUCCAGACUUAGUUUGUAUUUUUCUUACUCCAUCUUUAGAAUCAGCCAUUUCUUUAAGGAGCUUUGGGUUCUUUUAUUGGAGAGUGGUAUUUGGAAACCAAGAUCUGGGCAUUAGGUAUGCUCAUUGCUACCGGGAUGUCACUGCUUCUAGGCCCUCUCAGCUGGACAGAGGUAUGACAUACAUGUGUGUAAAUUAAUCUACAUAUAUCGACAUAUCUAUAAUUAGCUCUGUCAUAUUCACUAUUUAAUUUACAACCUCUUUUUUUGGUAGAUGUUUGCAAUCCAUAUUUUACUUACUGAUUAACAGUUUUAAUUUUUGGUAACAAUUCAUAAAAUAGAAAAUUGCAAUUUUAAUAGAGCUUUUCCAAAUCUGGAAUUAUAUACUCUCUCUGGAGUAUACAUUAUUCAU